GGGGGCCCGCACAAGCGGCGGAGCAUGCGGAUUAAUUCGAUGCAACGCGAAGAACCUUACCAAGGCUUGACAUGAACCGGAAAUACCUGGAAACAGGUGCCCCGCUUGCGGUCGGUAUACAGGUGGUGCAUGGUUGUCGUCAGCUCGUGUCGUGAGAUGUUGGGUUAAGUCCCGCAACGAGCGCAACCCUCGUUCUAUGUUGCCAGCACGUAAUGGUGGGAACUCAUGGGAUACUGCCGGGGUCAACUCGGAGGAAGGUGGGGACGACGUCAAAUCAUCAUGCCCCUUAUGUCUUGGGCUUCACGCAUGCUACAAUGGCCAGUACAAAGGGCUGCAAUACCGUAAGGUGGAGCGAAUCCCAAAAAGCCGGUCUCAGUUCGGAUUGGGGUCUGCAACUCGACCCCAUGAAGUCGGAGUCGCUAGUAAUCGCAGAUCAGCAACGCUGCGGUGAAUACGUUCCCGGGCCUUGUACACACCACCCGUCAAGUCACGAAAGUUGGUAACACCCGAAGCCGGUGGCCUAACCCCUUGUGGGAGGGAGCUGUCGAAGGUGGGACUGGCGAUUGGGACUAAGUCGUAACAAGGUAACCGUAAGGGC
rnacentral:rRNA from 1 species